CACGGGGCGCAGCAGGCGCGAAAACUUUACAAUGCGGGAAACCGUGAUAAGGGGACACCGAGUGCUAGCAUCAUAUGCUGGCUGUCCAGGUGUGUAAACUACACCNUNGNAAAGCNNGNAGCCCGGGG
rnacentral:rRNA from 1 species